rnacentral:lncRNA from 1 species
AUCCGGUAAGCAACGGGUCCGCAAAUUUCCACAAUCUCAUAAGGGCCAAUGUAACGGGGAGACAAUUUCCCUUUUACUUCAAACCAUUGCACUCCUUUGGUUGGGGAGACUCGAAGAUACACAUGAUCACCAAUAUCAAACUGCAGGGGUCUCCUUCUCCUGUCGGAGUAACUCUUCUGUCGAGAUUGGGCUGCCUCGAGAUUUGUUUGAGUUAUCUUAACUUGCUCUUCGG